UGUGGGCCCGUGCGUGGGGCUGCCGAGAACCACUGCCGUCUCUUUCCUCCUCAGUGGAUCCCAGCACCGGAACAAAUCUAUACAAGUAAGCUGCGAGUCUUGUCGCCGUGCAGAGCGAAGCUUCCUGCGACCUUCCGAGGCAGGUAAAUCCCAUGUAUCGACACGCGCCCUCAAAUUCCCUUUCUCCUUCGCGAACGAAAAGAUCCCAGUGCCUCGAGAGGAGGCGGCGGCAAACCCUAGCGCCGCCGCCGUCGAGAGCUCGGGGGUUCCAUGGCGGAGGACGGGACGCCAGAACUCUGGCCGCCGCGCCGUCCCACACCCAGGCCAGAGUAGUUGCGGUGGAUGCUGCCGCCUUGGGAGUUCUCCACAGGGAGGGAUGGUCUCGCAGCCUGGGUAGGCCUUCCCAGCGGCGGUCUCGCUCUACACGCCGGGGACGCCCUGGUAGGCGACCAUCGGUGUAGGGGGACGGGUCGCUGAUGGUCAGCGGCCGCGGCAGCAACCAAGAGAGCAGUGGAUAUUGUGUACUUUAGUUGUGCUGAGCAGAUGGGCCCAAGGUCACAUUUUGUAUCUAAAGAUGAUCAGAAGCACUCUUGGAGCAAGAUCAAUGGUCAGCUGCAUCGCUGAAAAACAAAGUGGGGUCGUAAGAAGUUCAGAAGAUCCACAGAGCAAAUUUAGAAUAAUGGAAAUUUAUAAGUCAGUAAUACUCAGUAGUUUCUGAUAGUGUUUUGAUUUUGCUGUCUGCUGCUUGUUCAUAGCUUAGCUCAGGUCGUGCUGCCUUGUAUCUUUCUAGUAUAAUUCCCCUCUUUAUGAGGCCUUUGUUUCUUUUCCCCUUAAUAAUUAAUGAAAUACAGCGCUGCUGUUUUCGUCAAAAA